CAGGUGGUCAGGUAGAGAAUACCAAGGCGCUUGAGAGAACUCGGGUGAAGGAACUAGGCAAAAUGGUGCCGUAACUUCGGGAGAAGGCACGCUGACACGUAGGUGAAGUGGUUUACCCAUGGAGCUGAAGUCAGUCGAAGAUACCAGCUGGCUGCAACUGUUUAUUAAAAACACAGCACUGUGCAAACACGAAAGUGGACGUAUACGGUGUGACGCCUGCCCGGUGCCGGAAGGUUAAUUGAUGGGGUCAGCGCAAGCGAAGCUCCUGAUCGAAGCCCCGGUAAACGGCGGCCGUAACUAUAACGGUCCUAAGGUAGCGAAAUUCCUUGUCGGGUAAGUUCCGACCUGCACGAAUGGCGUAAUGAUGGCCAGGCUGUCUCCACCCGGGACUCAGUGAAAUUGAACUCGCUGUGAAGAUGCAGUGUACCCGCGGCAAGACGGAAAGACCCCGUGAACCUUUACUAUAGCUUGACACUGAACACUGGUCCUUGAUGUGCAGGAUAGGUGGGAGGCUUUGAAGUGUGGACGCCAGUCUGCAUGGAGCCGACCUUGAAAUACCACCCUUUAAUGGCUGGUGUUCUAACGUGGGCCCCUGACCGGGGUUGCGGACAGUGUCUGGUGGGUAGUUUGACUGGGGCGGUCUCCUCCUAAAGAGUAACGGAGGAGCACGAAGGUUGGCUAAUCCUGGUCGGACAUCAGGAGGUUAGUGCAAUGGCAUAAGCCAGCUUGACUGCGAGCGUGACGGCGCGAGCAGGUGCGAAAGCAGGUCAUAGUGAUCCGGUGGUUCUGAAUGGAAGGGCCAUCGCUCAACGGAUAAAAGGUACUCCGGGGAUAACAGGCUGAUACCGCCCAAGAGUUCAUAUCGACGGCGGUGUUUGGCACCUCGAUGUCGGCUCAUCACAUCCUGGGGCUGAAGUAGGUCCCAAGGGUAUGGCUGUUCGCCAUUUAAAGUGGUACGCGAGCUGGGUUUAGAACGUCGUGAGACAGUUCGGUCCCUAUCUGCCGUGGGCGCUGGAAGAUUGAGGGGGGCUGCUCCUAGUACGAGAGGACCGGAGUGGACGCAUCACUGGUGUUCGGGUUGUCAUGCCAAUGGCACUGCCCGGUAGCUACAUGCGGAAGAGAUAAGUGCUGAAAGCAUCUAAGCACGAAACUUGCCCCGAGAUGAAUCUUCCCUGAGCCUUUAAGGCUCCUGAAGGAACGUUGAAGACGACGACGUUGAUAGGCCGGGUGUGUAAGCGCAGCGAUGCGUUGAGCUAACCGGUACUAAUGAACCGUGAGGCUUAACCUUACAACGCCGAAG
rnacentral:rRNA from 1 species